GACGAACGCUGGCGGCGUGCUUAACACAUGCAAGUCGAGCGAAGAGCGAUGGAAGCUUGCUUCUAUCAAUCUUAGUGGCGAACGGGUGAGUAACGCGUAAUCAACCUGCCCUUCAGAGGGGGACAACAGUUGGAAACGACUGCUAAUACCGCAUACGAUCUAAUCUCGGCAUCGAGGAUAGAUGAAAGGUGGCCUCUACAUGUAAGCUAUCACUGAAGGAGGGGAUUGCGUCUGAUUAGCUAGUUGGAGGGGUAACGGCCCACCAAGGCGAUGAUCAGUAGCCGGUCUGAGAGGAUGAACGGCCACAUUGGGACUGAGACACGGCCCAGACUCCUACGGGAGGCAGCAGUGGGGAAUCUUCCGCAAUGGACGAAAGUCUGACGGAGCAACGCCGCGUGAGUGAUGACGGCCUUCGGGUUGUAAAGCUCUGUUAAUCGGGACGAAAGGCCUUCUUGCGAAUAGUGAGAAGGAUUGACGGUACCGGAAUAGAAAGCCACGGCUAACUACGU
rnacentral:rRNA from 1 species